CAUGUAGGCGGAUUAAUAAGUUUGAAGUGAAAUCCUAUAGCUUAACUAUAGAACUGCUUUGAAAACUGUUAAUCUAGAAUGUGGGAAAGGUAGAUGGAAUUUCUGGUGUAGGGGUAAAAUCCGUAGAGAUCAGAAGGAAUACCGAUUGCGAAGGCGAUCUACUGGAACAUUAUUGACGCUGAGAUGCGAAAGCGUGGGGAGCAAACA
rnacentral:rRNA from 1 species